ensembl:lncRNA
CUCAGCUAUAUCCUCAUCCUUCCACCUGCCAGCAAUAGUAGGUGGGCACGAAGUGGUAACAAGUUCAGCCUGAUCCACUUAGCUUAAUAAAAGCAGUAUUUAGUGAAGGUAUGGGAAGCCCCUUGUUCACAGCCCCUCUGCCCUAGCCUGGGAUCAGGAAUUCUUUUAAUGCUUCUGCUGUGUCUUUAUUUCCUAUCUCAUUCAUGCUCUACCUCCUGUCUGCAUUGAGCUGUAGUGCUGAUGGUCUUCAGUUGGAUGCACCAAUGUGUCUUUGUGGUGGGAUAACCAUAGUUGCAGCCCCCUGCUCCUAGGGAGACGUGCACCCCCCUGGCUUUCACCCCGCCCUUGCACCGUUCCAUUGCUCUGACAGCAGCUGGAUCCAGCAGAUAUUUCUCAGCUGACGGCAGGAUGCUUGUGUGCUUGCACAUCUGAGCUUCUAUCUAUUACUGUCUUUGGUUUCUUGGCCUGCUGUGAAGGAUGCUGCACACUUGCACUGUCCACAAGCUAUGCUUCAACGAAGGGCCCAUAGAAUGAUUUCCACCUGAUUCUCUGGUCUCGGAGUUAUUGGAAGGGCAGUGCAGUUUCUUCAUUUACCUGUCCAAGCUUUAGGUCACUGUGGGAGCGAAUCGCUCAGAGGAUGUGUCUCACUCCCCUGGGCAGGAGCCAGCCCUGAUUCCAUCCAGAUGCUCUCCAAAUGGCUUUCAGCUGUCUCUCCUUGAGGAGAACAGCUUGGUACCUAACACCCAGCUCAGUGCGUGGCUCAGACAGGCUGCUCCCCGCCAGUGCUUCCAAGAACUCUGCGAUCCAACGGCUUCCUCUGGUCGCCAGGCGUUGGGCCCUGCCAAAUCUUCUCCGAGGAGACGGUGAUGACAGAGUUCGCUUUACGGAAGGGGAGAAGCGAGCCUACCUCCAAGCACAGAGACCUAGCCAGCUGUGGAGAAGUGGGUGAAUGGAGCUACGAAGCUCUGGAAAAUCAGAGCUCUGCUGGAAUGGCCGCAACCAGCGUAAUGGAGGGAACUCACUGGAUGGAAGUCAGCCUUCUGCUGCUCCUAGCUUCAGAAAGGGCCGAGCCGUAGCUGGUUUGAACUCAAUAUCUCAGUUCUUCCAUUUGUUACCUAGAGGAGGCCAAUUUUUGUGAUUUUUGGACACUCAUUUCAUGUAAUCAUACCCCUACGGUACAAGAAAAAAAAAAAACCAACACUUUAUAUAAAUACCGACGUGUUUUGUGACACAAAAACCAGAUACAGUAUAUGGAAAAUAUAACCUCCUUCCCUCUGGAAAUGGCUUGGGAUUAUCUACUUCUUGUUCUUGUAACUCGUCCUCUACAUGCCUCUGCUUCAAGGGUGAUUUACUGCAAAUAUCUCUGUGUUCCUUUCGCCGUAUUGAUUCAUAAGAAAUCCUUUCACAAUGAAAUCAUAUUUUCCAUGAACAACAACAACAACAAAAAAAAAAGUCAGAUAGAAGAUGAAGAAUAUUAUUGUAACAGGAAAAUGGUUAGGACAAAGAAAGCUUAUAAUUUUGUAAACAGAGGUUGGGAGGAGGCUUUUGGGAUUGAGUUUCUGGGCAGCGAGUCAGAGGGUUUUUCUUUUCUUAUUUUGAAGACUCUACUGGCAAUGUCUGCAACCCAGAAAGGAAUAAAUAUAAACAAAUUUCCCUUGCAAUGAGGCUCUGAGGCUCUGAUAGCUCAAUUAACAGAAUGGAGGAUCCAAUGAAGGAUGUGCCCAAGAACACUGAUGGUCUGGGAGAAGUGUUUGAAAGGUUUUGACACCCCUGACGCUUUGCCAGAGAGGAUUUAGCUCCAUGCUGUCUUCUGCUGCUGAAUAUUUAAGUGACCAAAGCCAGAUGAUUUCACGCCACAAAUGCAAUGGGGUCACCCAUUCUGAGGGGCAAAGAAAUGAUGAGGGGAGCACUUUCCAACUAAAGUGAAAGUUUGAGAGUUAAAGUUUGUUGUGUUUGUUUUUUUUCCAUUGGAAGAUAAGGCAACGAUCUCUUUCCCCUCCCAUUAGUCACAGUGAGUAACUGGGUGAAGUGGCUGAUGGUGGUGGAAAGGAAUGACAUUUGGCUAAAGAAAGCAGUUCAUGGUAUUUGCAAACACUUAGCAAAGCAGGUGAUUACUGUUGUUUUGCUUGCUGAAACCAUUCUUCUCUUUUGGACAGCCUAACAUCUUUUAGUGGAACAAUCAGAAAAAAUGUGCAGGAAAUUGUGAAAUUUUUUUUCUGCUAUUUUUGUCCAGUUCUACCAUUGCCAGUGAUGACCAAUUUGGUUUCUAAACAUUGCCACUCUGCUGGGGUAGCUUAUAGGGAAGGCAUGCGUGGAAUGGCUUCUCCCAAGGGAACCGUGAAUCCUCAGCUUCAGCGUGUUUUGGCACCAAGGAACAUGGAGAGAGAGAAACUUGCAAGCAGCUUCUGGGCAGCUCCAUGCAGCUCACCUGGAACUGAUUUUAAAGGGACUCAUAGUCAUCUGAUGUAAAUCAAUGCAGCUCCAUCUUUGCUCUGUUGAGUUAUUUUCCCAAAGUCUUAUAUCCGGGUGGGAAAAAGGUCUGCAUGUCAUGGCUACUGCCCUGCCUGUACCUCCUGAGGCUGUGUCCUCUAGGGCUGUUGCAGAUGCUCAUGAGCUCUGAGCCUUUCUUUCAGGUUUCUACCCCAAUGGUGGAGGCAGGUAUUUGGCUGGGAGAUUUUAUGUGUGCAC